ACCAUGCUCUUACCUCUUCAACUGAACAGGGCAACAGCACUUGGCUAUCAAGAGAUGGAGCAUAAAGAAAACGGACAUACAAGUCAAUACAAUUGGAUAAGUAGUUAUUGUGUUAACAUUAACAGAGUUUACUCAAAUCCACAAUAUGUUGCGUGAAGUCGGCUAUGCUGACCAUUGUAUGGUAUCAUCAGCUCGUGCUAUAGUAGAUUACAUUCCACACGUUAGCAUCGCCGCUAGCUUGCUACGAACCAAGGGCAGGUUCGAAAUUGGCUAUCCGUAGAGCCGCUAUCCCGUUAGCUAUCUAGAAUCAGUGGCUAGAUAACGUUAGCUAUAUUUCUACACUAAGUAACGUCAGCUAGCUAUCUCCGAUCAUUCAACAUUUCUGAAAACCUGUCAUCGGCUCAAGCAGUGCCAUAUUGUAGUGAUAUCUAGCUAUGCAUGUCCCACAAUUGCGAGUUACAUUAGCUAGUCUAAUAGACUGCCAGAAUUAUCGAACACAAACAUUGACAUAGCUUUACUAACUAGCUGAAGCUGGGUGGCUACCCUACUAGCUAGCCAACCGCUUACGUUACCUCGAACCAAAUCACUGCUUCAAAUUCCUCCUUGCAUUAGCUAUGUUAUGCAUUAAAUAACACAUUUUUAUAUAUCGUGAUAACGAUUAAGAGUCAUGAUGGACGCUAUGAUAUAAAUAGAAUUCGCGUGCAUAAUGUACUCACUAUUCCUUUAUGAGUACCAUCCCGAACGUGUACUGAACUGCUUCUUCUUUAAAUUUGUAUUGGCGGAUCACAACUAAGGCGCAUAUACCGCCCCCUACUAUACUGGAUGGCUUGUGUACAUCGCCGCGGGCCGCACAGAGUGUCUCGCUUGUGGGCGUGCUAGCAGCUUUUCGAUUGUGCGUAAAGAAUUCAGCAUAGCAAGUUUGUAUGAAGGUCUAGUUAUUCAAUGGGUAAUUAGUGUAAUCCAUUUUCCAUGUCAUUAAUUUAUUCACAGACAAAUAGUAAUAUGCUCGAAACCGCGCUGGUGACAAACAACUGUUUCUAAUCAUUCACAUGGCUGGGUGAACCUAUUCAAAUGAAUGUGGUACCUUCAAGUGUUUGGAGAUUGCUCCCAAGGAUGAACCAGACCGGUGGAGGUCUACAGUUUUCUGAGGUCUUGGCUGAUUUCUUUUGAUUUUCCCAUGAUGUCAAGCAAAGAGGCACUGUGUUUGAAGGUAGGCCUUGAAAUACAUCCACAGGUACACCUGCAAUUGACUCAGAUGUUGUCAAUUCGCCAAUCAGAACCUCGCCAUGACCUCAUUUUCUGGAAUUUUCCAAGCUGUUUAAAGGCACUGUGAACUUAGUGUAUGUAAACUUCUGACCCACUGGAAUUGUGACACAGUGAAUUUUAAGUGAAAUAAUCUGUCUGUAAACAAUUGUUGGAAAAAUAACUUGUGUCAUGCACAAAGUAGAUGUCUUAACCGACUUGCCAAAACUAUAGUUUGUUAACAAGAAAUUUGUGGAGUGGUUGAAAAACUAGUUAUAAUGACUCCAACCUAAGUGUAUGUAAACUUCCGACUUCAGCUUUAACUUUAUAUUUAGCUAGCUAUCUUGAUGUAUUUAUCACUGUAAAAAAACGAACUCCAAAUGCAGUUGUAGGUAGCUAGCUAACAGCUAUGGAGGAGGGUGAAACGAGAGCAGCCCCAACUGCCGGUAGGCAGUAGGCUAUGCUAGAUAGGGCAGGUACUUUCGUGUAGUUCCUGUCCCUAGAAGUGAGGAUGGAGAUAAUAGCAACAUAAUAUUCAGUGUGGUGAAUUUGACUAUUAUCAAGUCUGUUUCUUGUGAGGUUUUCUGUCCUCAGAUAAAGAGAGCUAUGAGAGCCAGUCUACAUAGGAAGAGGUCCCAAUGAAGAGCAGUGGUUCUCAGUCCUGGGGAUUCAAAGGGAUACCUUGUAACUGGAGAUUUCUUCAAAACGAUUGCCUACAGUUAACGUGUAGGGCACUGCAAGGUUGGGUGACCAGGGCCAUCUGGGACUGCCUCCUGGAGGAAUUCAGGUGUGUGAAGGCUACCUUUUGUUCUACAUAACUUCAUGAGGAUGGACACGAGGACCAGGAGGGGAUCUGCAGCUCACUGCCGUGUGCCAGAGAAGCCUGCUGCGCUGCACGAUGUUUCAAGGAUGGGGUCCAACAACGCAGCAAGAGUCAAGCUGUGUGCGGGAGAUAUUCACCUCCUACUUCUUCGAAGAGGGUGCUGUUCCCUGGCAACACCAUAGACUACACUAUGCACAACCAAAGACUCUUUUAAGAGCCAUUCACAUUGCAAUAAGAGUAUUCUUCCAUUUACUUAGCUAUUUCAACUGCAGUUAUUAAAUUCUCAGUUUCUCUCCCUUUGAUUUCUACUUUUCAGAUGAGGGUGCUGUUUAGGUAAGGGUGUGAUGUCUCUACAAAAACAACAGGCUCUUUUUAAGAGUCAUGCAUGUUGAAAAAUGUAGACACCCUAUAACCCACACCUACACACUUGUGUAUCAAUCUGAUUGGUGGAGUGUGUUGUACAGUAAGCAGGCUCAGGUGUGUUACUGUGACUCCUUCCACUUUCAAAUAAUAAGCAAGAGGACCAACCAUGGAGAAUAGUAAGAGAUUUCUUUAUUUCUAUUUACACUACCGUUCAAAAGUUUGGGGUCACUUAGACAUUUCCUUGUUUUUGAAAGAAACCAUUUUUUCUGUCCAUUAAAAUAACAUCAAAUUGACUAGAAAUACAGUGUAGACAUUAUUAAUGUUGUAAAUGACUAUUGUAGCUGGAAAUGGCAGAUUUUUUAAAUGGAAUAUCUACAUAGGCGUACAGAGGCCCAUUAUCAGCAACCAUCAUUCCUGUGUUCCAAUGGCACAUUGUGUUAGCUAAUCCAAGUUUAUAAUUUUAAAAGGCUAAUUUAUCAUUAGAAUAUUAUUUUGCAAUUAUGUUAGCACUGCUGAAACCUGUUGUACUGAUUAAAGAAGCAAUACAUCUCA